rnacentral:lncRNA from 1 species
UAGCAUUAACAAAAAUCCAUCGUUGGUCCAUUGCUAGGCAAGGCGAUGAGGACAGCAAGCGACGAAAAGCGACGAACGGCAAGCGAUGAGCAACGGGCGGUGAACGGCAAGUGAUGAGCGACGAGCGAUGGAUAGGCGAUGAGGACAGAAAUCGAUUGUGCUCUCUUGCUCUUGCUGUUACUCUGGCUCUUGUGAUGGUGGCUCCGGUGUAGGUGGUAAGUAACAGUGGAUUAAUUGUUUAGUUUUUUCCCUAGUUUGUUAUGUAAUGUUUCUCUUUUUCUUUUUCAUGUUGAAUGGAUUAUUGAACAGUAAGAAUUAUUGAACUCUUCAAGCCUUUGAAAGAGUUUAAGCCUCCGGCUAUCAUAAUAUCUUAGUUUCUGCCGACGAAUUUUCAUCCUCUUCCCAAAGGGUCAUAAUGGCUCUCAUUCUCUUGUUCAUGCCUGCAUAUAAAAGAAAAGAAAUACGCAAGGUGAAUCAUAACAUGCAUCUGCAACAGGAAUAGGAGAAGAUUCAUUUGAGCUAAAUGCAAAGGAUAGUGGUGGGUGUGGUAUCGGAAAUGGUGAUGGAUGUGUAUCAACAGUGGCUGUCUAAUUGUAACUUUCUUUAUUUUUCUUUUUCAUUUUUCACUAGAUUUUUUAUUGUUUAAAAAGAAUAAACUUUUUUGUAUUUAAAUAUAAAAUUUGGGAACAUAGCAAUCCACGUGUGUCAUCAUGUUAGUGGAUAAUAUUUUUAUUAGCUCCUUUGAGAAAAAUGG